rnacentral:rRNA from 1 species
UACGUAGGGGGCUAGCGUUGCCCGGAAUCAUUGGGCGUAAAGCGCGUGUAGGCGGUCCGGUAAGUCCGCUGUGAAAGUCGAGGGCUCAACCCUCGAAUGCCGGUGGAUACUGUCGGGCUAGAGUGCGGAAGAGGCGAGUGGAAUUCCUGGUGUAGCGGUGAAAUGCGCAGAUAUCAGGAGGAACACCUAUUGCGAAGGCAGCUCGCUGGGACGUUACUGACGCUGAGACGCGAAAGCGUGGGGAGCAAACAGG